rnacentral:rRNA from 1 species
GUUAAGUGACGAAGCGUAUACGGUGGAUGCCUUGGCAGUUAGAGGCGAUGAAGGACGUGUAAGUCUGCGAAAAGCUGUGGUGAGCCGACAAAAUGCAUUUGAGCCACAGAUGUCCGAAUGGGGAAACCCACCUGUUUACAGGUAUCGUUAACUGAAUACAUAGGUUAACGAGGCAAACGAGGGGAACUGAAACAUCUAAGUACCCUUAGGAAAAGAAA